rnacentral:rRNA from 1 species
CUACGGGGGGCAGCAGUGGGGAAUAUUGGACAAUGGGGGAAACCCUGAUCCAGCAGUGCCGCGUGUGUGAAGAAGGCCUGCGGGUUGUAAAGCACUUUCGGUUGGGAGGACUGCUUCUAGCACUAAUAUUGUUGGAAGUUGACGUUACCUUCAGAAGAAGCACCGGCUAACUCCGUGCCAGCAGCCGCGGAUAAUACGGAGGGUGCAAGCGUUAAUCGGAAUUACUGGGCGUAAAGCGCGCGUAGGCGGCUAGAUCAGUCGGGUGUGAAAGCCCCGGGCUUAACCUGGGAACUGCAUCCGAUACUGUCUAGCUUGAGUACAGGAGAGGAGAGUGGAAUUCCACAUGUAGCGGUGAAAUGCGUAGAUAUGUGGAGGAACACCAAUGGCGAAGGCAGCUCCCUGGCCUGAUACUGACGCUGAGGUGCGAAAGCGUGGGGAGCAAACAGGAUUAGAUACCCUCGUAGUC